rnacentral:lncRNA from 1 species
ACAGUUGUUCCCAGUGUUUUGGGGACCCAAGAGGAGACGAGCCAUGGGAGUGCCAGAUUGAAACCUGCAUUGGAGAAGAAGUCUUGUUUGUCUUCAUUGCUAUAGCUCCAAGAGGAAAAUUUGAAAAUGGAAGAUCCUCAAUAUAUUAGCCCUGUGCUAACAUCUGCUGCCGAUCCUCUUCUUUUUGCUGAGGAAGACUGGCCCUGAGCUAACAUCCAUGCCCAUCUUCCUCUACUUUAUAUGUGGGAUGCCUACCACAGUAUGGCUUGCCAAGCGGUGCCGUGUCCACACCCAGGAUCCGAACCAGUGAAACCCAGGCCACCAAAGCGGAACUUGCAAACUUUAACUGCUGUGCCACCGGGCUGGCCCCUAUUGUCAUCUUUUAUUGUCAUGUAAAAAAUAGCUUUAUUUCUUUUUGUGACUGUAAAAACUAAUAUAGCCAUUAUGAAAAAAAAAGUCAAAUAAUACAGAAAAUAUGGAGAAGAGAACACAGCCUAAA